GUAGCCUAGUGGUUAGAGUGUAUGGGCGGCAGGUAGCCUAGUGGUUAGAGUGUAGGGGCGGCAGGUAGUCUAGUGGUAAGAGUGUAGGGGGGGCAGGUAGCCUAGUGGUUAGAGUGUAGGGGGGGCAGGUAGCCUAGUGGUUAGAGUGUAUGGGCGGCAGGUAGCCUAGUGGUUAGAGUGUAGGGGCGGCAGGUAGUCUAGUGGUAAGAGUGUAGGGGGGGCAGGUAGCCUACUGGUUAGAGUGUAGGGGGGGGGCAGGUAGCCUAGUGGUUAGAGUGUAGGGGCGGCAGGUAGUCUAGUGGUAAGAGUGUAGGGGGGGCAGGUAGCCUAGUGGUUAGAGUGUAUGGGCGGCAGGUAGCCUAGUGGUUAGAGUGUAGGGGCGGCAGGUAGUCUAGUGGUAAGAGUGUAAGGGGGGCAGGUAGCCUAGUGGUUAGAGUGUAGGGGCGGCAGGUAGCCUAGUGGUUAGAGUGUAGAGGUGGCAGGUAGCCUAGUGGUUAGAGUGUAGGGGGG
rnacentral:lncRNA from 1 species